rnacentral:rRNA from 1 species
GGGUAGAGUAAUGCGUGACCAACCUGCCCCAUGCUCCAGAAUAGCUCUUGGAAACGGGUGGUAAUGCUGGAUGCUCCAACUUGACGCAUGUCUUGUUGGGAAAGUGUUUAGUGGCAUGGGAUGGGGUCGCGUCCUAUCAGCUUGUAGGCGGGGUAAUGGCCCACCUAGGCUUCGACGGGUAGCCGGCCUGAGAGGGCGGACGGCCACAUUGGGACUGAGAUACGGCCCAGACUCCUACGGGAGGCAGCAGUA